rfam:Ipomoea nil DNA, scaffold: scaffold0715, cultivar: Tokyo-kokei standard.
CACCGCAUAGCGUAGUGGAUAAGCGCAUUUGACUUCGGAUUAGAUGGUCGUGGGUUCGACGACCACUGUGUUCG